rnacentral:rRNA from 1 species
ACGGAGGUGGCAAGCGUUGUUCGGAAUUAUUGGGCGUAAAGAGCGCGUAGGCGGUCUUUUAAGUCGGGGGUGAAAUCCCGGGGCUUAACCCCGGAAUUGCCUCCGAUACUGGAAGACUUGAGUGCGGGAGAGGAUAGUGGAAUUCCCAGUGUAGAGGUGAAAUUCGUAGAUAUUGGGAAGAACACCAGUGGCGAAGGCAGCUGUCUGGACCGCAACUGACGCUGAGGCGCGAAAGCGUGGGUAGCAAACA